rnacentral:rRNA from 1 species
CCCUAUGGCCAUGCCAUCCCGAAUGUGCCCAAUCUCAUCUGAUCUCUGAAGUUAAGCACGGUCGGGCCUGAUUAGUACUUAGAUGGGAGACCACCUAGGAAUACCAGGUGCUAUAGGCA